rnacentral:rRNA from 1 species
ACUCCUACGGGAGGCAGCAGUGAGAUAUGACAUGAGCACUCUGAUCCAGCCAUGCCGCGUGCAGGAAGACUGCCCUAUGGGUUGUAAACUGCUUUUAUACAGGAAGAAACCACUCUACGUGUAGAGUUCUGACGGUACUGUAAGAAUAAGGAUCGGCUAACUCCGUGCCAGCAGCCGCGGUAAUACGGAGGAUCCAAGCGUUAUCCGGAAUCAUUGGGUUUAAAGGGUCCGUAGGUGGAUGAUUAAGUCAGAGGUGAAAGUCUGCAGCUCAACUGUAGAAUUGCCUUUGAUACUGGUUAUCUUGAGUUAUUAUGAAGUAGUUAGAAUAUGUAGUGUAGCGGUGAAAUGCAUAGAUAUUACAUAGAAUACCAAUUGCGAAGGCAGAUUACUAAUAAUAUACUGACACUGAUGGACGAAAGCGUGGGGAGCGAACAGGAUUAGAUACCCUGGUAGGAUAGCGU